rnacentral:rRNA from 1 species
GAUGAACGCUGGCGGCGUGCCUAAUAAAUGCAAGUCGAGCGAACGGACGAGAAGCUUGCUUCUCUGAUGUUAGCGGCGGACGGGUGAGUAACACGUGGAUAACCUACCUAUAAGACUGGGAUAACUUCGGGAAACCGUAGCUAAUACCGGAUAAUAUUUUGAACCGCAUGGUUCAAAAGUGAAAGACGGUCUUGCUGGCACUUAUAGAUGGAUCCGCGCUGCAUUAGCUAGUUGGUAAGGUAAAGGCUUACCAAGGCAACGAUGCAUAGCCGACCUGAGAGGGUGAUCGGCCACACUGGAACUGAGACACGGUCCAGACUCCUACGGGAGGCAGCAGUAGGGAAUCUUCCGCAAUGGGCGAAAGCCUGACGCAGCAACGCCGCGUGAGUGAUGAAGGUCUUCGGAUCGUAAAACUCUGUUAUUAGGGAAGAACAUAUGUGUAAGUAACUCUGCACAUCUUGACGGUACCUAAUCAGAAAGCCACGGCUAACUACGUG